CCUUGUACACAUCGCCCGUCACACCACGAAAGUCGGCAAUACCCGAGCCGGUGGGCUAACCCGCAAGGGAGGCAGCCGUCGAAGGUAGGGUCGAUGAUUGGGGGUG
rnacentral:rRNA from 1 species